AUUCCGGGCCAGGGCGCGGGAGGCGGAGGCCGAGGAGAGGACGGGAGGAGGCUGCAUCCUGCCCUGGUGCGUCAGGAAGGGCCGAGCGAGCGGGAAGGAAAGCACCACCCCCCACCCCCGCCGCGGCCACACCUGGGUUCUCCAGGCGGGCAGGGGGGCCCCCGGGCCGGCGCCUGGCUCCAGCAAGUCUGGGCCGCCUCCCCGCGCCGCCCCGCGGGGGCCGCCAGAUGGGCUGCCCGCCCGCCAGCUCAGCGACGCAGGCAGGAAACGCCGGCCGGGCUGCCAGGAACGCGCGCAGGGGAGGGGGCGGGCCCGGCCGGGCCACGCCCGCCGGAGGGGAAGGAGGGGCCAAGCACCGCCCGGCGGGGACUGGUGAGCUCCAAGAGCCUGCGAUCCCGGUCCCUGCCUUUACUAGAUGGGUUUCCUUGGGUUCUCUAUGCAACUAUGCGUGCAUGUUGCGGGGACGGGGUUCUUGGUCUACACUGACUUCAAAAACGAAGCUGCAGACCCUCGCAGUGAAUGUUACAGUUCUUAAAGGCAGCGUGUCUGGAAUUUGUUCCUUGUGAUGUUCGGAUGUGCUGGGAGUUUUUUCCUUCUGGUGGGUUCGUGAUCUCACUGGCUCAGGAAUGAAGCUGCAGACCCUC